UACGUAGGGUCCGAGCGUUGUCCGGAUUUAUUGGGCGUAAAGAGCGUGUAGGCGGCUUCACAGGUCCGCUGUGAAAACUCGAGGCUCAACCUCGAGCUGUCGGUGGAAACCGUGUGGCUAGAGUCCGGAAGAGGAGAGUGGAAUUCCCGGUGUAGCGGUGAAAUGCGCAGAUAUCGGGAAGAACACCCGUGGCGAAGGCGGCUCUCUGGGACGGUACUGACGCUGAGACGCGAAAGCGUGGGGAGCGAACAGG
rnacentral:rRNA from 1 species